GGACCCUCCGAGCCAGGUGAUACGAAGCCUUCUGAAGAUUUGAAUCAAGGAAAUGAGGAGCCAUUGAAGAAUACUGUUGUCCUAUCCCAGAAGGAGCAAGCGGACAACACUGAUAUCCUGACCACUAACCAUCCAGCACCACUUAAAGCCACACUCUCCUCUUUGGUCUUUCCUGGUACGCAGCAUACAAGCCCACAGAUUGAGGACUCUGCACUUGCUGUUCUCUCUGCCUGGAGCUCUAUGGCUCCAGAUAGACUCCUGCCAACUCCUUCGCCUUGUCCAAGUUACCUUCAUUAAAUGUCAGCUUAAAUGUGUGCCUACUUUUUGCCCUACCUAGAAUUGCAAGCACCUCUCACCACUGUGCUCCCAUUCUCCUUAACUUAAGCCACUUUUAUUCUCAUAAUAAAGCCACAUAUUUUUUCUUAUUAUAUCAUAAUCGUACUGUAUAAUUUAUAUUUUAUUACUUUUGUUUGUAUACUUAUUGUAUGUUUCUGUUCACAAGGAUGUAAACCCCAUGAACACAGAGAUCUUUGAUUGUUUUAUUCACUGAUUUAUGCCAAAUGUUUGGAACAAUGCCUGGCACAUAGUAGAUGUUUGAUAAUUUUUUUUUUUUCUGAAUGAAUAAAUACAUUUUAGCCAAAUAUGCUGACUCUGCUUGUUUGGUUAUAUUUAUGUGUGUGUGAAUGUAUGUGCAGAAAAAGAAGAAAUUAGUUAAUACCAAAUCUAUAAAAUGGGAAAAAUAAUGCUUACCUUAUAGUGUUGUUAUGAAACUCAACUAAUAUAAGAUAUGUGAAGGGUCUAGCAUAAAAUG
rnacentral:lncRNA from 10 species